UCGGGAAUAUUAGAAAUUGACGAAAGUCUGAUCUAGCAACACCGCGUGUGCGAAGAAGGCCUUCGGGUUGUAAAGCAAUUUUUGGCAGGAUUAGGAAGGAAUGUACUUCCAGAAUAAGUCUCGGCUAACUACGUGCCAGCAGCCGCGGUAACACGUAGGAGGCAAACGUUAUCCGGAUUUACUGGGCGUAAAGCGCGUGUAGGUGGUUCUGUAAGUAGGGCGUGAAAGCUCCUGGCUCAACUGGGAGAGGCCGUUCUAAACUGCAGAGCUAGAGGAUGGUAGAGGGAGGUGGAAUUCCGGGUGUAGCGGUGGAAUGCGCAGAUAUCCGGAGGAACACCAGUGGCGAAAGCGGCCUCCUGGACCAAUACUGACACUCAGACGCGAAAGCGAGGGUAGCAAACG
rnacentral:rRNA from 1 species